rnacentral:rRNA from 1 species
UACCUGGUUGAUCCUGCCAGUAGUCAUAUGCUUGUCUCAAAGACUAAGCCAUGCAUGUCUAAGUAUAAGUAUUAUACAGCGAAACUGCGAAUGGCUCAUUAAAACAGUUAUAGUUUAUUUGAUAAUCGAAACCUACAUGGAUACCCGUGGUAAUUCUAGAGCUAAUACAUGCUGGUGUGCCCGACUUUUGCGGAAGGGCGGUAUUUAUUAGAUAACAAGCCAAUAUUCCUCUGGUCUAUUGUGGUGACUCAUAAUAACUGAUCGAAUCGCAAGGCCUAUGGCCGCGAUAAAUCAUUCAAGUUUCUGCCCCAUCAGCUUUCGAUGGUAGUGUAUUGGACUACCAUGGCGUUUACGGGUAACGGAGGAUUAGGGUUCGAUUCCGGAGAGGGAGCCUGAGAAACGGCUACCACAUCUAAGGAAGGCAGCAGGCGCGUAAAUUACCCAAUCCUGACUCAGGGAGGUAGUGACAAGAAAUAACGGACCGGGGCCUCACGGCUUCGGGAUUGCAAUGAGCCGAAUUUACACCCCUUAGCGAGAAUCGAUUGGAGGGCAAGUCUGGUGCCAGCAGCCGCGGUAAUUCCAGCUCCAAUAGC